GGCCUUGGCAGUGUUCAAAUACCCUUUCUUUUAGGAAAUGAUAGGGGUAAUAGGUGAGAGUUGCUGGUAGUGUUUUAGUGUCUUUAACCGGCAAAGGAAAACACUGAAAACUCUUGGCUGGGUCCCUUGAUAGACCAAUGAUUGAUGUCCCAAAGCCAUUAUCUGUCACUCUCCACUUGCCUAGUUUUUUUUUUUUUUUUUUUUCUGACAGGGUCUCACUCUGUCGUCCAGGCGGGAGUGCAGUGGUGCCAUCUUGACUCACUGCAAUCUCCGCCUCCCGGGCUCAAAUGAUUCACCCACCCCAGCCUCCUGGUAGCUGGGAUUACAGACAUGCACCACCAUGCCCAGCUAAUUUUUGUAUUUUUGAUAAAGAUGCGAUUUUGUCAUGUUGGCCAGGCUGGUCUCAAGUGAUCCGCCUGCCUCAGCCUCCCAAAGUGCUGGAAUUACAGGCGUGAGACACCGCGCCUGGCCAUUGCCUACCUUUUCUAUAAAGGGUGGAAAGGCGACCUGCUGGCCACCCAGCUUCCUAGGAAUAGCCCUGUGAUACAGCCCUGGCCGACAAGAUGAAAGCAGAAGUCCGGAGUGAUGUUUUCUUGCUGGGAGAAAGUUCUGCGCCCUUGGCCCCUUUACCUUUUCCCUUCUCUGACCUCUUCUUCCUACAAGGAACUCAGACUCAGGUCUUGAAGUGAACAGCUGCUUUCUAUCUCUGAGGAGACUAGCCUGAGGAUGAAAGCAUGAAGCUUGGCAGAGCAAAACCCAGAAAUGUGCUCGUUAAUAAAAUCCAGGAUCCUUUUAUAGUUCAUAAGUGUGAUGAUUGGGUUUUCACGCUCGUAUGUGAGAUGUGCCUCCCUCAGACUUUGUUACGAUGUUGGCACAUUCCCCGUUUGAUGUGAAAAAAGAAAAGUAAAAUGAAGAAGGUAUCCAAAAUCAAACUGUAUAUAAAGUGAUGAAUUUGCCAAAAGGUCUUUUACACGUGUUGGACACAGACUCUUGUGGUCAGUACAAACCCAAAAUUAGAAUUUGUGGAUGUGAUUCUUCCAGUGAAUGCUUGAGGUAUCUGUUAUCUUUUUAAAACUCCUGUAUUAUUUAUGGAGAAAGACUUUUUGAAAGCAGGUAGUGGGUCUUGAGUUUCCCUCUUCCACCCUCUCCUUGACCAAACAUGGCACUCCAAGCAGGCUUGGAUGUUCUGUGCAACUCAUGUCAUUCAGUUGCUUUAUGAAGUAUUUUGAAGAUGCUUUUAUUUCAGCCAUUGAUCUGACAUUGAUGUCAACAAAGUCUAAAAGCAGGUCCUUGACAACAUCUUGGUCCCUAUGGUAGCAAUGUCUGGGGCAAAUGGCAA
rnacentral:lncRNA from 10 species